rnacentral:rRNA from 1 species
CCUACGGGUGGCUGCAGUGAGGAAUAUUGGUCAAUGGACGCAAGUCUGAACCAGCCAAGUAGCGUGCAGGAUGACGGCCCUCCGGGUUGUAAACUGCUUUUAGUUGGGAAUAAAAGGGGGCUCGUGAGCCCCGUAUUGUAUGUACCAUCAGAAAAAGGCCCGGCUAAUUCCGUGCCAGCAGCCGCGGUAAUACGGAAGGUCCGGGCGUUAUCCGGAUUUAUUGGGUUUAAAGGGAGCGUAGGCCGGCUUUCAAGUCAGCGGUAAAAUUGAGAGGCUCAACCUCUUCGAGCCGUUGAAACUGGUUUUCUUGAGUGAGCGAGAAGUAUGCGGAAUGCGUGGUGUAGCGGUGAAAUGCAUAGAUAUCACGCAGAACUCCGAUUGCGAAGGCAGCAUACCGGCGCUCAACUGACGCUCAUGCACGAAAGUGUGGGUAUCGAACAGGAUUAGAUACCCGAGUAGUC